rnacentral:rRNA from 1 species
ACGCUCGACACCUACGGGGGGCAGCAGUGGGGAAUAUUGGGCAAUGGGCGCAAGCCUGACCCAGCAACGCCGCGUGAAGGAAGAAGGCUUUCGGGUUGUAAACUUCUUUUAUCAGGGAAGAUGAAUGAGACUGUACCUGAUGAAUAAGCCACGGCUAACUACGUGCCAACAGCCGCGGUAAUCUGAGCGGGCUGGCAAGGC